rnacentral:misc_RNA from 1 species
AAGUCGUAACAAGGUUUCCGUAGGUGAACCUGCGGAAGGAUCAUUACAAUGUGUGCCGCGUUGUUUGGUUGUCAAAGACCACUCAAUCAAGCCAUAUUAACCAUGUGUGAACCGUUUUGAUUACCUGUUGGUGGGUUGUUGAGAGGAGAGGAGCCGCGUCUCUUUUGAGUCACGGCAAGUCGAAUCUCUGGCCCAUCACACUGUUUUACUAGUUAAACCUACUCAUUGAUGCACUGAAUCAUGCCUAAGUUGUGAAACUUGCAAAACUUUUAGCAAUGGAUCUCUAGGCUCUU